UUUCAUGAAGAGGCGACAAUAGCAUUGACACAUGCAUUGACUCUCAUGAGGAGGCGCCAAUGUCCCUGACGCCUGAGUGGUGCAUGUGGUGUAUGCGUCAAUUCAUCUGGUGCAUACACCCCUUGUAUUAUUUAUUUAAUUGUUUUAAUUUUUUAAUUUUUAAUUUUGUUUAUUUCAUAAAUAAAAAAUAAUAAUGUAAAAAAAAAUUAUUCAUGUGGUAAUAAU
rnacentral:lncRNA from 1 species